AACGACUCUCGGCAACGGAUAUCUUGGCUCACGCAUCGAUGAAGAACGUAGCAAAAUGCGAUACUUGGUGUGAAUUGCAGAAUCCCGUGAACCAUCGAGUUUUUGAACGCAAGUUGCGCCCGAAGCCUUUUGGCCGAGGGCACGUCUGCCUGGGCGCCAC
rnacentral:rRNA from 1 species